rnacentral:rRNA from 1 species
CAGCCGCCGCGGUAAUACGAAGGGUGCAAGCGUUACUCGGAAUUACUGGGCGUAAAGCGUGCGUAGGUGGUGGUUUAAGUCCGUUGUGAAAGCCCUGGGCUCAACCUGGGAAUUGCAGUGGAUACUGGGUCACUAGAGUGUGGUGGAGGAUAGUGGAAUUUCCGGUGUAGCAGUGAAAUGCGUAGAGACCGGAAGGAACAUCUGUGGCGAAGGCGACUAUCUGGGCCAACACUGACACUGAGGCACGAAAGCGUGGGGAGCAAACAGGAUUAGAUACCCCCGUAGUCCCUGUCUCUUAUAC